rnacentral:lncRNA from 1 species
UUUUAAUCUCUGCUGAUAAAUCAGAGUGUUUGGAUGAUUAGCACUGACCGCCUUCUGAUUGGUUUUCUGGCUUGCUGCUGCUCAGGACUUUUUGCUUAUGAGAUAACUAGAUAUAUGCCUGGCUAGUGAAAAAGGUCUAUAUGACAUAUGUCUGGCUAUUUGACUGUCAGUCAAAUAAGAUUAUGUUGAAAUUGUUGUAUUGAGGAUCAGAUCUUGUGCCCUACAUGCUUUUUUUCAUCCAUGAGUCACUCUUUGGAUCCCUUUUCUUAUUUAAGAAGAAAAAAAUCCCCCAAUUACAAGAUGGCAUGAGCUGUGCUGAGCCCAUACAACAUCCUAAGCAGGAAGCCCUUGCCCAGCACCAAUUAAGGACUAACUGUACCAAGGGAUUCAGUUUCAGAGAGAAGGUUCUGCAGCGUGCCAGGCCCGGAGCACCCAGAGGUACACAGGUGGGAUAUGCACCCUCUGCUGGGAAGGCAGCAGUCAGGGGAGCAACUGCUUGGACACGCUGCUUCAUACCAGCUACCAGAGAGCUCUGA